rnacentral:rRNA from 1 species
UACGUAGGGCGCAAGCGUUGUCCGGAAUUAUUGGGCGUAAAGAGCUCGUAGGCGGCUUGUCGCGUCGAAUGUGAAAACUUGGGGCUCAACCCUAAGCCUGCAUUCGAUACGGGCAGGCUAGAGUUCGGUAGGGGAGACUGGAAUUCCUGGUGUAGCGGUGAAAUGCGCAGAUAUCAGGAGGAACACCGGUGGCGAAGGCGGGUCUCUGGGCCGAUACUGACGCUGAGGAGCGAAAGCGUGGGGAGCGAACAGGA